rnacentral:rRNA from 1 species
AUUGAACGCUGGCGGCAUGCCUUACACAUGCAAGUCGAACGGCAGCGCGGGAGCAAUCCUGGCGGCGAGUGGCGAACGGGUGAGUAAUACAUCGGAACGUGCCCAAUCGUGGGGGAUAACGCAGCGAAAGCUGUGCUAAUACCGCAUACGAUCUACGGAUGAAAGCAGGGGAUCGCAAGACCUUGCGCGAAUGGAGCGGCCGAUGGCAGAUUAGGUAGUUGGUGAGGUAAAGGCUCACCAAGCCUUCGAUCUGUAGCCGGUCUGAGAGGACGACCAGCCACACUGGGACUGAGACACGGCCCAGACUCCUACGGGAGGCAGCAGUGGGGAAUUUUGGACAAUGGGCGCAAGCCUGAUCCAGCCAUGCCGCGUGCAGGAUGAAGGCCUUCGGGUUGUAAACUGCUUUUGUACGGAACGAAACGGCUCUUUCUAAUAAAGAGGGCUAAUGACGGUACCGUAAGAAUAAGCACCGGCUAACUACGUGCCAGCAGCCGCGGUAACAC